rnacentral:rRNA from 1 species
GUUAAGCGACUAAGCGUACACGGUGGAUGCCCUGGCAGUCAGAGGCGAUGAAGGACGUGCUAAUCUGCGAUAAGCGUCGGUAAGGUGAUAUGAACCGUUAUAACCGGCGAUUUCCGAAUGGGGAAACCCAGUGUGUUUCGACACACUAUCAUUAACUGAAUCCAUAGGUUAAUGAGGCGAACCGGGGGAACUGAAACAUCUAAGUACCCCGAGGAAAAGAAAUCAACCGAGAUUCCCCCAGUAGCGGCGAGCGAACGGGGAGCAGCCCAGAGCCUGAAUCAGUAUGUGUGUUAGUGGAAGCGUCUGGAAAGGCGCGCGAUACAGGGUGACAGCCCCGUACACAAAAAUGCACAUGCUGUGAGCUCGAUGAGUAGGGCGGGACACGUGGUAUCCUGUCUGAAUAUGGGGGGACCAUCCUCCAAGGCUAAAUACUCCUGACUGACCGAUAGUGAACCAGUACCGUGAGGGAAAGGCGAAAAGAACCCCGGCGAGGGGAGUGAAAAAGAACCUGAAACCGUGUACGUACAAGCAGUGGGAGCACGCUUAGGCGUGUGACUGCGUACCUUUUGUAUAAUGGGUCAGCGACUUAUAUUCUGUAGCAAGGUUAACCGAAUAGGGGAGCCGAAGGGAAACCGAGUCUUAACUGGGCGUUAAGUUGCAGGGUAUAGACCCGAAACCCGGUGAUCUAGCCAUGGGCAGGUUGAAGGUUGGGUAACACUAACUGGAGGACCGAACCGACUAAUGUUGAAAAAUUAGCGGAUGACUUGUGGCUGGGGGUGAAAGGCCAAUCAAACCGGGAGAUAGCUGGUUCUCCCCGAAAGCUAUUUAGGUAGCGCCUCGUGAAUUCAUCUCCGGGGGUAGAGCACUGUUUCGGCAAGGGGGUCAUCCCGACUUACCAACCCGAUGCAAACUGCGAAUACCGGAGA